rnacentral:lncRNA from 1 species
GCGGAGUCAGCUUGUGGCGUCCUUGAUUGCUUUGCCGGCGUCGUAGGACUAGGUCGCCCACGUUGAGGUCCCUCUUGCGCACAUGCUUGUCGUGGUAGCGUCGAAGCUUUUGCUGAUAUCUGGCAGAGUUGAGGAGGGCCAUGUCUCGAGCCUCCUCAAGUUGGUCGACUGCGUUUUCUUGAGUCUCUUUGUUCGAUUGCUCGUUGUAGGCCUUGAGUCGAGGUGACCCAUACUCGAGGUCUGUGGGGAGGAUAGCCUCAGAGCCGUAGACCAUGAAGAACGGGGUGUAUUUUGUGGCCCUGCUCGGUGUUGUCCUAAGGCUCCAUAGGACUGCGGAAAGCUCCUCGACCCAUUUCUUGCCG